rnacentral:antisense_RNA from 2 species
CUUCAACGCGCCCAGCCACAGCGGCCGUUCGGGGCUGCGGCCCCGCCCGUACGUGGCGAUCAGGGCCUGCGCCUC